CAAAUUAAGUUGGUGUCUUCUCAACCGCGAAACCCUAGACAUUCAUCUUUUCCCAGGAGUAGGAGGAACAGAGAUUCAUUCAUAGUCUCUCUCGAUCGCCGAUGUCGAAAAGAAUCCUUUGUAAAUUCUUUGCUCACGGUGCAUGCUUGAAAGGGGAGCACUGCGAAUUUUCACAUGACUGGAAGGAUCCCACAAAUAAUAUUUGCACCUUCUACCAGCGAGGAAUCUGCUCUUAUGGAAGUCGAUGCAGGUACGACCAUGUCAAAGCUUCUCGUCCCCAUCUAUCUGCUUCUUCUUCGUCGUCUCGGUCAGCUCCUGCUUCAGCUUCAGCUUCCAGCCCUCUUGCCAGUGCUUCUCUUCCUGGCGUCUCGGAUAGAGAUUUGAGCCUAGUUCCCUCACCAUGUUUAAAACCUACGUGGAAUUUGGAUUCUCUUCACCAGGAUUCCGUAGAGGAGAUCAGCACCUUCAACCCUGGUACAGUCAAACCAGAAGAACAACCCAUUUGUUCAUACGCUGCAGCUGGUGAUUGCCCACGUGGAGAUGAAUGCCCUCACAUCCAUGGAAAUAUUUGCCCAACUUGUGGGAAAUGUUGCUUGCAUCCUUUCAGACCCGAGGAGAGAGAGGAGCACAAGAAAGUAUGUGAAAAAAAACAGAAGCAGCUCGAAGCAUUAAAACUUAGCCAGGAGAUCGAGUGCUGUGUCUGUUUGGAACGUGUAUUGUCUAAGCCAACUCCAGCUGAACGGAAGUUCGGGUUACUCACUGAAUGUGAUCAUGCUUUCUGCAUAGCAUGUAUCAGGAAUUGGCGUAGCAGUUCUCCUUCCACUGGAAUGGAUGUCAACAGCACACUGAGGGCUUGCCCCAUAUGCCGCAAGUUAUCAUAUUUUGUUGUCCCUAGUGUAAUCUGGUUUUCCGCUCCUGAAGAGAAAAAAGAAAUUAUGGAUAACUACAGGGAAAAGCUCAGGUCAAUCGAUUGUAAGCACUUCAAUUUCGGGGAUGGGAAUUGUCCAUUUGGGACAAGUUGCUUCUAUAAGCACACUGUGAAGCCAGGGUCAUAUGCAUGGAAAUACCACAGGCCACCUCCAAGGCGUCCUUGCCCCUCUGGAUCUAACUUCUCAGACGUGGAUACACUUGUAAAUAUGAUCGGGAAUAUAAUUUCGGAAGGCGAAUAUGGUCCUAUUGGGUUUGAAGAUACAGACGAUGAUGAAUUGACUACAACGGAUAUGAUGAUGUUAUUGAUGCACAUGGAUAUAGAAUCUGAGGACUCGUCCAAUGAGGAUAUCUACUAGUUAUCCCUAUUAUAGUUAAUUAAAGUGAGAGUCUUAGGUCAUAUAGCUAUAAUAUGGUUUGGGGAGGUUACAGUAGUCUUUGUAGUUUGGGUAGAAUAAAUUUGACUAUUUUCCCCUUGGAAUGUAUAUUUGAUGGUGUUGAUAUGGAUGCACCUCUAAAACUCAAAGAGGGGUUGUGGGUGUUGUUGCAGCAUGCUUAUCAUGAUGGUCGUUUGGAGGAAGUGGUUCUGCGACAUCUGGAUGCGGAAGAUGGGCAGACUAUGAUAGCAAAAGAUAUAAGGUUGUCUGACUUCCUUG